rnacentral:rRNA from 1 species
ACAAGCAGCGGUAGCGUGUGGUUUAAUUCGAGGCUACACGAAGAACCUUACCAGGGUUUGACAUGUCACGUGGUAGGAAUCCGAAAGGUGACCGACCUUCGGGGAGCGUGCACAGGUGUUGCACGGCUGUCGUCAGCUCGUGCCGUGAGGUGUUGGGUUAAGUCCCGCAACGAGCCGCAACCCCUACUGCCAGUUACUAACAGGUGAAGCUGAGGACUCUGGCGGAACUGCCGGUGACAACCGGAGGAAGUGGGAUGACGUCAAGUCAUCAUGGCCCUUAUGUCCAGGGCUACACACGUGCUACAAUGGGCGAGACAGGGCGACGCGAAGCCGCGAGGUGGAGCAAAUCGACAGAAAAUCGCCCUCAGUUCGGAUUGGAGUCUGAAACCCGACUCCAUGAAGGUGGAAUCGCUAGUAAUCGCGCAUCAGCAGGUCGCGGUGAAUACGUUCCCGGGCCUU